rnacentral:lncRNA from 1 species
CUUCACAUUCCAUUGUAUUUAGGAACUCACUUGAUGCCAAAACCAUCCUUCCUCAUGUGACCUGGGUAGGUCAGAUGACCCCCUUUGUCAUCGAUUACAAAUGACAAAGGCAGACAUAAACCAUCUAGAUUCUGUCUUUUCCUUAUAAAUGAUUAGGGAAAUAUCUUGUCCCCAUGAUAAAUUGGAACAAUGUGUUUGCUAAUCAAACCUAGGUUAAUCUUCUCUCUUUCCCCCAGGUCCCUGAAUUUUACCCACCUUGAGCCUGAGAGGUCUGUGUUAUCCCUUCUGAUGGGCCCAUUUUAGGGAUGGGGAGAUACCAGGGCAAAACACUUUCUGACCCAGUAUCAGCUCAUUCCACUUUCAUGGCUUGUUCAAGGUUCCCCAAUCUGUCCUUUUCGACCUUGUUUACUCUUCCUGAUGAAAGAAAAGCUCUCUUCUGCCUGACUUGAGACACUUGUGAAUCUCAAGAUAGGAGCAUUCUCCUCAUUGCUAGUUUCUUCUCCCGAUUGCAAUAUUCCCAUUCCCCUGAAGAUAGAAUAAAUUUUCUUCUUACCUAAACACAGAUUUUUACAAAGUCAAAUAGAUUUGAUAAAAUAUUUGAAUUAGCAGUCUCAAAUUCAGUUCAGUGUCCCCCCGCACCCCCAAUUCAAUUCUGUCUCUCUAAAUGAGCACGGCAUGCUUGAUACAAAGGAGUAGUCAAGAGUUGACAAAGAGGUAAAAGCCCAUGCGUAGCACUUAGGUUUGAUCCUCUCAGAAACAGACUAUUUGUCAAAGAUGGAUGUGUAAGUCAUUUAUUUGAAAAGUGGUCUGGGGAGUCCAAAAAAGGAAGUGGAUAGGAGACUGGGAAGGGUGAGAAAAGACAGAGGUCCAAGAUCUGUUACUGAGCAAGUUACCACAUGGGCAGCCAGGGGUUAAUGCCCAUGGAGACUUCUGGGAAAUAGUGUAAACAUACCUCGAAUUGGCCCAGAGGGGCAAGGAAAAGGAGUUAUUUAUUUACCAAUUUGCCGAAGGCCGGCUGGCUGGGCAAAAUAACCGGGGUGUGACGCACAACUUGUGAACGUUGAUACAGCAGGAGUAGGAGCCGUUUAUUGUAGGAAAACAGAGGUAUUUAUACAUUUUACACAGCUUAUCUUAAUUAGCAUAAACUAGAUACAUCAGUCAACCAAUAAGGAAUCUCCACACUUAAUGGCUCACUGGCAUUACUUCACAAACCACUCCCUCUGGCAAAAUGCCAGGCACCAUCCAGACUUGUUUACAGACUCUAACACCAAUUCCUCUUUAUUGAUGGUUGAGGAUUACUUUCAGGGACCUAACAUCUUAGGACUUCAGACCUGUCUGCCCAUGAGCCUAAUACACGUCUGCAGCAAGCU